rnacentral:rRNA from 1 species
CCAGGCAAGUUUAUCAAUGACAAUACCAAAUCUCAUCUGAUCUUGGAAGCUGUACAGGGUUGACCCUAGUUAGUACCGGGAUGGUAGACCACUGAAAAUACCAGUUAGCCUAAU